UACAGAGGUCUCAAGCGUUGUUCGGAUUCAUUGGGCGUAAAGGGUGCGUAGGCGGUGCGGUAAGUCGGGUGUGAAAUCUCAGAGCUCAACUCUGAAACUGCACUCGAUACUGCUUUGCUUGAGGACUGGAGAGGAGACUGGAAUUUACGGUGUAGCGGUGAAAUGCGUAGAUAUCGUAAGGAAGACCAGUGGCGAAGGCGGGUCUCUGGACAGUUCCUGACGCUGAGGCACGAAGGCCAGGGGAGCAAACGGG
rnacentral:rRNA from 1 species